CAUGUGAACUGCAGAAGGACCCCAAGAAGAGAAUGCUACCUAGGCAACACCUACUGAGAGCGUGACUGAACUUUAGAAGAAUGGCAUCCAUUGACAGCAACAGGAAGAGAUGGCUACAUAUUUGGGACUAUGAAGAAACUGAAGUAAUCAAGGUGAAGUGACCUGCCCCGUGUCAGAAAGCUAUUUUUCGAAACUUCACCAGUGGGGAGUUGGUGGAAGUCAAAGUUUCCUGGGCCUAAAGAGAGAUGUAUCUCUGGAAAUAUUUUCAUCAUGAAGCUUUUCCUGAACCCUGAACCUGGAAGUAUUCUCCUUCCCAAACUACCAUGUAUUUAGCAACUUAUAUGUAAGUAAAAUGUAAUUGUAUUUUGCAGUCAUAUAUUUAUGUA